GACGUGGGGCGCGAGCGUUGUCCGGAUUUAUUGGGCGUAAAGAGCUCGUAGGCGGCUUGUCGCGUCGGCCGUGAAACCUCACAGCUCAACUGUGAGCCUGCGGUCGAUACGGGCAGGCUAGAGUUCGGUAGGGGAGACUGGAAUUCCUGGUGUAGCGGUGAAAUGCGCAGAUAUCAGGAGGAACACCGGUGGCGAAGGCGGGUCUCUGGGCCGAUACUGACGCUGAGGAGCGAAAGCGUGGGGGAGCGAACAGG
rnacentral:rRNA from 1 species